rnacentral:rRNA from 2 species
AGAGUCUGAUGGAGCAUGCCGCGUGAGUGAAGAAGGUUUUCGGAUCGUAAAACUCUGUUGUUGAAGAAGAACAUAUGUGAGAGUAACUGUUCACGUACUGACGGUAUUCAACCAGAAAGCCACGGCUAACUACGUGCCAGCAGCCGCGGUAAUACGUAGGUGGCAAGCGUUGUCCGGAUUUAUUGGGCGUAAAGAGAAUGUAGGCGGUUUAUUAAGUUUGAAGUGAAAGCCCUCGGCUCAACCGAGGAAGUGCUUCGAAAACUGGUAAACUUGAGUGCAGAAGAGGAAAGUGGAACUCCAUGUGUAGCGGUGGAAUGCGUAGAUAUAUGGAAGAACACCAGUGGCGAAGGCGGCUUUCUGGUCUGUAACUGACGCUGAGAUUCGAAAGCAUGGGUAGCAAACAGGAUUAGAUACCCUGGUAGUCCAUGCCGUAAACGAUGAGUGCUAAGUGUUGGAGGGUUUCCGCCCUUCAGUGCUGCAGCUAACGCAUUAAGCACUCCGCCUGGGGAGUACGAUCGCAAGAUUGAAACUCAAAGGAAUUGACGGGGGCCCGCACAAGCGGUGGAGCAUGUGGUUUAAUUCGAAGCAACGCGAAGAACCUUACCAGGUCUUGACAUACCAUGAAAAGCUUAGAGAUAAGUCUUUCCCUUCGGGGACAUGGAUACAGGUGGUGCAUGGUUGUCGUCAGCUCGUGUCGUGAGAUGUUGGGUUAAGUCCCGCAACGAGCGCAACCCUUAUUAUCAGUUGCCAGCAUUCAGUUGGGCACUCUGGUGAGACUGCCGGUGAUAAACCGGAGGAAGGUGGGGACGACGUCAAAUCAUCAUGCCCCUUAUGACCUGGGCUACACACGUGCUACAAUGGUCGGUACAACGUGCUGCGAACUCGCGAGGGUAAGCAAAUCACUUAAAACCGAUCUCAGUUCGGAUUGUAGGCUGCAACUCGCCUACAUGAAGCUGGGAAUCGCUAGUAAUCGCGGAUCAGCAUGCCGCGGUG